GACGAACGCUGGCGGCGUGCUUAACACAUGCAAGUCGAACGAUGAACCCGGAGCUUGCUCCGGUGGAUUAGUGGCGAACGGGUGAGUAACACGUGAGUAACCUGCCCUUGACUCUGGGAUAACUGCUAGAAAUGGUAGCUAAUACCGGAUACGACCCUCGGCGGCAUCGCCAGGGGGUGAAAGAAUUUCGGUCAAGGAUGGACUCGCGGCCUAUCAGCUAGUUGGUGAGGUAACGGCUCACCAAGGCGACGACGGGUAGCCGGCCUGAGAGGGUGACCGGCCACACUGGAACUGAGAUACGGUCCAGACUCCUACGGGAGGCAGCAGUGGGGAAUAUUGCACAAUGGGCGCAAGCCUGAUGCAGCAACGCCGCGUGA
rnacentral:rRNA from 1 species